UACGUAGGGGGCAAGCGUUAUCCGGAUUUACUGGGUGUAAAGGGAGCGUAGACGGCAGAGCAAGUCUGAAGUGAAAGCCCGCGGCCCAACUGCGGGACUGCUUUGGAAACUGCCCGGCUAGAGUGCUGGAGAGGUAAGCGGAAUUCCUAGUGUAGCGGUGAAAUGCGUAGAUAUUAGGAGGAGCACCAGUGGCGAAGGCGGCUUACUGGACAGUAACUGACGUUGAGGCUCGAAAGCGUGGGGAGCAAACAGG
rnacentral:rRNA from 1 species